UACGAGUGCCUCAAGCGUUAUCCGGAAUCAUUGGGCGUAAAGGGUGUGUAGGUGGUCUUAUUAGUCUUUUGUUAAAUUCUUGGGCUUAACCCGAGGUCUGCAAAAGAAACGGUAAGACUUGAGGAUGCGAGGGGUCUGUGGAACUCUAGGUGUAGCGGUGAAAUGCGUUGAUAUCUAGGGGAACACCAAAAGCGAAGGCAACAGACUGGAGCAUUCCUGACACUGAAACACGAAAGCGUGGGUAGCGAAUGGG
rnacentral:rRNA from 1 species